rnacentral:rRNA from 1 species
GACGAACGCUGGCGGCGUGCUUAACACAUGCAAGUCGAACGGAAAGGCCCCUUUGGGGGUACUCGAGUGGCGAACGGGAGAGUAACACGUGAGUAACCUGCCCUUGACUUCGGGAUAACUUCAGGAAACUGGGGCUAAUACCGGAUAGGAAUCCUUGCUGCAUGGUGGGGGUUGGAAAGCUUCGGCGGUUUUGGAUGGACUUGCGGCUUAUCAGCUUGUUGGUGGGGUAGUGGCUUACCAAGGCGUUGACGGGGAGCCGGCCCGAGAGGGCGACCGGCCACGUUGGGAUUGGGAUACAGCCCAGGCUCCUACGGGAAGGAGCAGUGGGGGAUAGUGCAACAGGGGCAGGAGCCGGAUGCAGAAACGCCGCGGGCGGGAUGGCGGCCUUCGGGUUGUAAACCGCUUUCAGCAGGGGCGGAGCUUGUGGUGACGGUACCUGCAGAAGAAGCACCGGCUAACUACGUG